AGCCUUAAGAAACUAUUUAAGGUGACGCCUGCCCAGUGCUAAUUUGUUAACGGCCGCAGUACCCUGACUGUGCUAAGGUAGCAAAAUCAUUUGGCUUUUAAUUGGAGUCGGGAAUGAAUGGAUUAAUGGGGUAAAGCUGUCUCUUUUAUAUUUUAUUGAACUUUCUAACUAGGUGAAAAUGCCUAGAUCAAGAAAAAAGACGAGAAGACCCUAGGAGCUUUCACUAAUUGUCAUAUUAAUUUGGCAAUCGUUUUUGUUGGGGCAACAUAGGAAAACUAGAACUUCCUUUAUUUAUAUGCCGACCUAGUAUGUACAUUUAAGCUACCCUAGGGAUAACAGCGUAAUUCUUCAAGAGCUUGCGACCUCGAUGUUGGACUAGGAAUUUUAUUGGCUAGCCGCCAAUAAAAUAGGUUCUGUUCGAACUAAUUUCC
rnacentral:rRNA from 1 species